AUGAGGAAACUAAGGCACAGAGAAAUUAAAUUAAGUGACCUUCCUGGGAUCACACAGCUAAGAAGUCUGAGGUAUUUCGUAGUUCUUCCAACUGGAAGAACCCCUUUGGGGAGAUCCAUACCCAUUCAUGUACCUCCCAUUAGAAGAACCUUGCAAGACAGAAUGAAGGAAAGUGACUACUCUCUUCCACCCUUUGGGACCAAGAAGGCAUGAAUUGGACCCUGGCACAAGCAGCAGUGGUCACAGUGGAAUGAGCCAAUGCCUGUUUUGUAGAACUGAUGAAUGAGCAUUGAGAACCUGCUAGCACUGGUGGAUGAGAUUCCUAGCACCAUUCCAUCUGAGGGGAGAAGUCUAUUUAUUAUCUAAUAUGAACUUUCGUGAAUGAUAGGCACAAUCCCCACUGUGCCUUGUGUAAGUCAGGAGAUUUGCUUUAAGCACCUGAACUUCCUUUCAUCUAUAGGGAAAUCCAGUCCUGUGAAUGGGAGGAAAUUGGGAUGGCUUUUGCUUCUGAGGUUUUUUUAAUUGACUUUUUACAUAUUUAUCUAAUCUAUUUAAACUGAUUAAUACAGUUAUGAUCCUUACAAUAGGGAUUUUGAUUGACCUAGUAUGCUGGAAGGAAUGAAAGAGAAGUGAUUAGUUGGAUGAAGGGUACUACUAAAUCAUCCACAUUAGAAAGCCCUAGGGACCAGGUAGUAGUGUGAGGCAGGGUGUUGGACCUAUUGAUAUUCACUCUUGUCCAUGGUCCUGAUUGCUUAACACAGAUACACUUUCACCUACUUGUUAUUUAAACAUUUUCCUAGUUUCCUUUGCUCUCAUGGGGACACCAUAUACAGAGAAAGAGUUCAAUAGUUUUCAUAUUUCAUAUAUGUUCCCUCGGGGGUCUCCCAGGGAGUAGAGGCUUUAUCUCUGUCAUGAUAUGUCAGAAGUUUGGCAAUUUCUCUCUCAGUAGAGAAAGCUUGUCUGUUAACUCAGCUACUGAAGGUUGAUCUAACAUUCCUAGGGACAGGAUAAUUUGCUUCUCCACUACUCACAGAGCAAGGCAAAACUAAAUGCCUUUCAUCCUUUUCAUGGCAAUGUUAGAAAUCAAACCAAAUAUAUUUGUUGCUCAAUUGUGGGAAACUCCAAAGUUCUUGUAUAGGAGGUGGCCCCUGAACUAGCCCUCCCAUUUGCACUUUACCCUCUAGAUAGUCCCUGAUCUUAAAGAACUCACAAGAAAGUUAAUGAGUCUUAUUUUGGAAAUGUUGCAUUUGAGAGAACUAUGGAAUAACCAAAUGGUACUUUCUAUUAGACAGUUAAGGAGGUGGAACUGAAACUCAUGAGAGAGAUAAGGACAAGAUUGAUUGAUUUGGAAAUCAUCAAUAUAGAAAUAGUAAUUAAACACACAAGAGCUGACAAGAUCAUGAAGAGGGUGUGGAGAAAGAAGAGAAGGAGUAGAGCCUGGUAGUCUGCUUUAAGAACCAUCUCAUGACUUAUCUGUUUAAAGGUUCUUUGGGAAGACUUGCCUUUUAAUGCCCUGAACCACUUCACUAUCAACAAUCUCAAACAACACUUUUGUGCCUUGCCUAAUGCAGAACAUUCAAUACUCCUUCUUUGCAAAAAAAAAAAAAAGAAUUGUUUUGAGAAGUAAUGAUGACAUCUACUCUUUCUCAGCAAGAGCAUGGAUGUGGGCCAUUCAGGCUCUGGUGCCAUGGGAUGUUAGUCUUGUACUUCCAAUAACAAUCUCCUUUGUUUGAAAAUGAGGAACUGCCCUUCACUGAUGUCUUGGUGUUAUUCCCUGAAAGCAUGCUCUGUUUAUUGGCAGGUUUCUGCAGAGGCUAAUCUCUGUUAUAUGAGCAGGGUUCUAGUGUGAUUGACUGAAGUCUCUAUCCUCCUCCAAUAUCAGGGAAACAAACACAAUGGAGAUAGUCCAAUAUUUUUCCUUUUAACAAUAUGCAAAAUCCAUCUUUUUAACAUUAAAAUUUUUUUUCUGGUGAUAUUCUAUGGAUAUAAAGGAUAUAUAGCACCAAAAUCUCCAAGUAUCAAAACUAUGGUUAACCUCAACAAUAGAGAGAUUGGUGGUAGUAUAAACAUAUUGUAGUAUAUUAUCAAUGAUGACAAAUACAAAAAGUGGAAUAAAAGAUAUUGCCCAGGAAAUGUAAAAUGGGCU
ensembl:lncRNA